UUCUAUUCUAGUGGGGUUCAAAAUUCCCAGAGAUUGACGUCUUUGCUGACGUUUAUGUUCGACCCUGGGAUAAGUUGACCAAGUCCCUUCAUGUAAUUAAUUUAUUAUGCAUUAAAGAUUUAUACUAAUUAUUUCAAAUUGUUUGCUAUUAAUAUUCCAUGUUUUAUUUCGCAGGCAACUAUGGUGGAGAAGGGUUAGUUGAUCCUUAAGGAGUCCGCCUCCCAGCUUCCCUCGGACACGCCGAUUGAGUCUGUGGAUCCCCCUGAGGAUGCGGGGCUUCACAUCCUUAUAGAGAUGU
rnacentral:lncRNA from 1 species